GAAGGUUUCAGGUCUGCUGCGCUGUGCUUAGUUGCUGGAUCGGUGUGCACUUUACUUUGGUUUGCGGCAGAAUUUUUGUAUAAUUAGUUUUGGAUCCUGUAUAUUGUUUAUGCUGUUUUGUGUCUUUUAUCUGUGCAGGAUUCUAUCGGCUAGGUGUUGGUGUUGCAUUUGAAUUAUUGAGCCUAUAUUGCAGGAUAAAUUCGACAGAAGAGGAGCUGUUUGUGAGCAAACGUCCUGUCUUAAUUUUCCGUCUUGGUUGCAUCUCAUAAGGUCAUUGCCCGGUUGUCUUGGGUCGGAAGUGAUUCUGCUCCUGAAGUCCAAGCGUUAUUAAGUGGCAUGACGCGAGAUCCCAAGACGUGAUAUUGUAU
rnacentral:lncRNA from 1 species